rnacentral:rRNA from 1 species
UUAAGUUAUUAAGGGCGCACGGUGGAUGCCUUGGCACUAGAAGCCGAUGAAGGACGUUACUAACGACGAUAUGCUUUGGGGAGCUGUAAGUAAGCUUUGAUCCAGAGAUUUCCGAAUGGGGAAACCCAGCAUGAGUUAUGUCAUGUUAUCGAUAUGUGAAUACAUAGCAUAUCAGAAGGCACACCCGGAGAACUGAAACAUCUUAGUACCCGGAGGAAGAGAAAGAAAAUUCGAUUCCCUUAGUAGCGGCGAGCGAAACGGGAAGAGCCCAAACCAACAAGCUUGCUUGUUGGGGUUGUAGGACACUCUGUACGGAGUUACAAAGGACGACAUUAGACGAAUCAUCUGGAAAGAUGAAUCAAAGAAGGUAAUAAUCCUGUAGUCGAAAAUGUUGUCUCUCUUGAGUGGAUCCUGAGUACGACGGAGCACGUGAAAUUCCGUCGGAAUCUGGGAGGACCAUCUCCUAAGGCUAAAUACUCUCUAGUGACCGAUAGUGAACCAGUACCGUGAGGGAAAGGUGAAAAGCACCCCGGAAGGGGAGUGAAAUAGAACCUGAAACCGUGUGCUUACAAGUAGUCAGAGCCCGUUAAUGGGUGAUGGCGUGCCUUUUGUAGAAUGAACCGGCGAGUUACGAUUUGAUGCAAGGUUAAGCAGUAAAUGUGGAGCCGUAGCGAAAGCGAGUCUGAAUAGGGCGUUUAGUAUUUGGUCGUAGACCCGAAACCAGGUGAUCUACCCUUGGUCAGGUUGAAGUUCAGGUAACACUGAAUGGAGGACCGAACCGACUUACGUUGAAAAGUGAGCGGAUGAACUGAGGGUAGCGGAGAAAUUCCAAUCGAACCUGGAGAUAGCUGGUUCUCUCCGAAAUAGCUUUAGGGCUAGCCUCAAGUGAUGAUUAUUGGAGGUAGAGCACUGUUUGGACGAGGGGCCCCUCUCGGGUUACCGAAUUCAGACAAACUCCGAAUGCCAAUUAAUUUAACUUGGGAGUCAGAACAUGGGUGAUAAGGUCCGUGUUCGAAAGGGAAACAGCCCAGACCACCAGCUAAGGUCCCAAAAUAUAUGUUAAGUGGAAAAGGAUGUGGCGUUGCCCAGACAACUAGGAUGUUGGCUUAGAAGCAGCCAUCAUUUAAAGAGUGCGUAAUAGCUCACUAGUCGAGUGACACUGCGCCGAAAAUGUACCGGGGCUAAACAUAUUACCGAAGCUGUGGAUUGUCCUUUGGACAAUGGUAGGAGAGCGUUCUAAGGGCGUUGAAGCAUGAUCGUAAGGACAUGUGGAGCGCUUAGAAGUGAGAAUGCCGGUUGAGUAGCGAAAGACGGGUGAGAAUCCCGUCCACCGAUUGACUAAGGUUUCCAGAGGAAGGCUCGUCCGCUCUGGGUUAGUCGGGUCCUAAGCUGAGGCCGACAGGCGUAGGCGAUGGAUAACAGGUUGAUAUUCCUGUACCACCUAUAAUCGUUUUAAUCGAUGGGGGGACGCAGUAGGAUAGGCGAAGCGUGCGAUUGGAUUGCACGUCUAAGCAGUAAGGCUGAGUAUUAGGCAAAUCCGGUACUCGUUAAGGCUGAGCUGUGAUGGGGAGAAGACAUUGUGUCUUCGAGUCGUUGAUUUCACACUGCCGAGAAAAGCCUCUAGAUAGAAAAUAGGUGCCCGUACCGCAAACCGACACAGGUAGUCAAGAUGAGAAUUCUAAGGUGAGCGAGCGAACUCUCGUUAAGGAACUCGGCAAAAUGACCCCGUAACUUCGGGAGAAGGGGUGCUCUUUAGGGUUAACGCCCAGAAGAGCCGCAGUGAAUAGGCCCAAGCGACUGUUUAUCAAAAACACAGGUCUCUGCUAAACCGUAAGGUGAUGUAUAGGGGCUGACGCCUGCCCGGUGCUGGAAGGUUAAGAGGAGUGGUUAGCUUCUGCGAAGCUACGAAUCGAAGCCCCAGUAAACGGCGGCCGUAACUAUAACGGUCCUAAGGUAGCGAAAUUCCUUGUCGGGUAAGUUCCGACCCGCACGAAAGGCGUAACGAUUUGGGCACUGUCUCAACGAGAGACUCGGUGAAAUCAUAGUACCUGUGAAGAUGCAGGUUACCCGCGACAGGACGGAAAGACCCCGUGGAGCUUUACUGUAGCCUGAUAUUGAAAUUCGGCACAGCUUGUACAGGAUAGGUAGGAGCCUUUGAAACGUGAGCGCUAGCUUACGUGGAGGCGCUGGUGGGAUACUACCCUAGCUGUGUUGGCUUUCUAACCCGCACCACUUAUCGUGGUGGGAGACAGUGUCAGGCGGGCAGUUUGACUGGGGCGGUCGCCUCCUAAAAGGUAACGGAGGCGCUCAAAGGUUCCCUCAGAAUGGUUGGAAAUCAUUCAUAGAGUGUAAAGGCAUAAGGGAGCUUGACUGCGAGACCUACAAGUCGAGCAGGGUCGAAAGACGGACUUAGUGAUCCGGUGGUUCCGCAUGGAAGGGCCAUCGCUCAACGGAUAAAAGCUACCCCGGGGAUAACAGGCUUAUUUCCCCCAAGAGUUCACAUCGACGGGGAGGUUUGGCACCUCGAUGUCGGCUCAUCGCAUCCUGGGGCUGUAGUCGGUCCCAAGGGUUGGGCUGUUCGCCCAUUAAAGCGGUACGCGAGCUGGGUUCAGAACGUCGUGAGACAGUUCGGUCCCUAUCCGUCGUGGGCGUAGGAAAUUUGAGAGGAGCUGUCCUUAGUACGAGAGGACCGGGAUGGACAUACCUCUGGUGUACCAGUUGUCGUGCCAACGGCAUAGCUGGGUAGCUAUGUGUGGACGGGAUAAGUGCUGAAAGCAUCUAAGCAUGAAGCCCCCCUCAAGAUGAGAUUUCCCAACUUCGGUUAUAAGAUCCCUCAAAGAUGAUGAGGUUAAUAGGUUCGAGGUGGAAGCAUGGUGACAUGUGGAGCUGACGAAUACUAAUCGAUCGAAGACUUAAUCAA